AGGAGUUUAUCUCGACUGAGUAGCUUCCCCGCCACUCCUCUAAAAUCCCUCCUCAAAAACCCCAAGUUAAAAAAAAAAAAGAUCUAUUCUUGUAGAUUUUUUUUGUGUGGGUCUAUGUUUCAUUCAUCUGCUUUCAGGCUGGAUUUAUAACAAGCAGAACUUUUAAAACGCUUCAGGAAAAAGAGGACCUUAGAACUGAAGGAGCAAGAUUCCAACAUCACACUGUUUUUGUUAGCUGUGUGUGUGUGUUUCCUGUGUAUCCAAAAGACAGAGGAGAUGAAAAAGCAAAAGAAAAGAAACGAGGAAUCAGAUUGGAAAGAAGGUUUCUCCAGGACGUCACCUGUAUGAGGUACACAGUGUGAUGACACACUCUGUGCUUUUCCUACUUGUGUCCACGUGAGUGUCUGGAGCUGCCCUUCAAGGAGAGCAAUAGAUGAAUGAUUCUGCCUUCCCGCUGAGAGGGAUGUGGGUCCUGCGGAUGGUCGGGGUGAAGCUUCCUCUCCUUUCUGCUGACAGCACUUCCUCAUUAAAUGCAGAGAUCUGCAAAAAGGGAAAAUAAAAACACAAGAAGAAA
rnacentral:lncRNA from 1 species